rnacentral:rRNA from 1 species
AUGAACGCUGGCGGCGUGCUUAACACAUGCAAGUCGAACGGUGAAGGCGGAGCUUGCUCUGCUGGAUCAGUGGCGAACGGGUGAGUAACACGUGAGCAAUCUGCCCCUGACUCUGGGAUAAGCGCUGGAAACGGCGUCUAAUACUGGAUACGAGCUGCGAAGGCAUCUUCAGCAGCUGGAAAGAAUUUCGGUCAGGGAUGAGCUCGCGGCCUAUCAGCUUGUUGGUGAGGUAAUGGCUCACCAAGGCGUCGACGGGUAGCCGGCCUGAGAGGGUGACCGGCCACACUGGGACUGAGACACGGCCCAGACUCCUGCGGGCGGCCGCCGUGGGGGCUCUUGCCCGCUGGGCGAAAGCCUGAUGCAGCAACGCCGCGUGAGGGACGACGGCCUUCGGGUUGUAAACCUCUUUUAGCAGGGCAGCCGCGAAAGUGCCGGUGCCUGCCGAAAAAGCGCCGGCUCCCUCCGUG